AUGGGGUCAAACUUUUUACUGCUGGGGAUGCUGGGACUCUUUGCUCAGGGAUCAACGGCAGAUAUAGUUCUGACUCAGAAUCCAGCAGCUCAGUCUGUUCAGCUGGGAGACACUGUUUCUAUCAGCUGUACAGCCAGUCAGAGUGUUUACAGCAAUGACCGUCUCAGCUGGUACCAGCAGAAACCAGGUCAGGCUCCUAAACUUCUGAUUUAUGCUGCCACAACACGCCAGUCCGGGAUUCCUGAUCGUUUCAGUGGGAGUGGAUCUGGGACUCAGUUCACGCUGAAAAUCACUGGAGUCCAGGCUGAAGAUGCAGGAGAUUAUUACUGUCAGAGUGAGCAUCUCAUCAGUAGCUGGGUGUUCACACAGUGA